rnacentral:rRNA from 1 species
CUUUGGGAUAACCCUCGGAAACGGGGGCUAAUACCGGAUAUGACUUCUGCCGGCAUCGGUGGUUGUGGAAAGUUUUUCGGUUGGGGAUGGGCUCGCGGCCUAUCAGCUUGUUGGUGGGGUGAUGGCCUACCAAGGCGACGACGGGUAGCCGGCCUGAGAGGGCGACCGGCCACACUGGGACUGAGACACGGCCCAGACUCCUACGGGAGGCAGCAGUGGGGAAUAUUGCACAAUGGGCGCAAGCCUGAUGCAGCGACGCCGCGUGAGGGAUGACGGCCUUCGGGUUGUAAACCUCUUUCAGCACCGACGAAGCGAGAGUGACGGUAGGUGCAGAAGAAGCGCCGGCCAACUACGUGCCAGCAGCCGCGGUAAGACGUAGGGCGCAAGCGUUGUCCGGAUUUAUUGGGCGUAAAGAGCUCGUAGGCGGCUUGUCGCGUCGACUGUGAAGACCUGCGGCUCAACCGUGGGCUUGCAGUCGAUACGGGCAGGCUAGAGUUCGGUAGGGGAGACUGGAAUUCCUGGUGUAGCGGUGAAAUGCGCAGAUAUCAGGAGGAACACCGGUGGCGAAGGCGGGUCUCUGGGCCGAUACUGACGCUGAGGAGCGAAAGCGUGGGGAGCGAACAGGAUUAGAUACCCUGGUAGUCCACGCUGUAAACGUUGGGCGC